rnacentral:tRNA from 1 species
GGGGUUGUGGCUCAGUGGGAGAGUGCUCACUUAGCAUGCGUGAGGUGCUGGGUUUGAUCCUCAGAACCACA